rnacentral:rRNA from 1 species
GACGAACGCUGGCGGCGUGCUUAACACAUGCAAGUCGUACGGUAAGGCCCUUUCGGGGGUACACGAGUGGCGAACGGGUGAGUAACACGUGAGUAACCUGCCCACAACUUUGGGAUAACGCUAGGAAACUGGUGCUAAUACUGGAUAUGUGCUCCUGCUGCAUGGUGGGGGUUGGAAAGCUCCGGCGGUUGUGGAUGGACUCGCGGCCUAUCAGCUUGUUGGUGGGGUAGUGGCCUACCAAGGCGGCGACGGGUAGCCGGCCUGAGAGGGUGACCGGCCAAAUUGGGACCGGGAUACGGCCCAGACUCCUACGGGAGGGAGGAGGGGGGAAUAUUGCACAAUGGGCGCAAGCCUGAUGCAGCAACGCCGCGGGCGGGAAGACGGCCUUCGGGUUGUAAACCGCUUUCAGCAGGGACGAAGCUUUUUGUGACGGUACCUGCAGAAGAAGCACCGGCUAACUACGUG